rnacentral:rRNA from 1 species
UACGGGGGGAGCAAGCGUUGUUCGGAUUUACUGGGCGUAAAGGGCGCGUAGGCGGUCAGCACAAGUCAGUUGUGAAAUCUCCGGGCUUAACUCGGAAAGGUCAACUGAUACUGUGCGACUAGAGUGCAGAAGGGGCAACUGGAAUUCUCGGUGUAGCGGUGAAAUGCGUAGAUAUCGAGAGGAACACCUGCGGCGAAGGCGGGUUGCUGGGCUGACACUGACGCUGAGGCGCGAAAGUGUGGGGAGCGAACAGG